UCUUAAGAUGACAAAUCGUACUAGUGAGAAACAAGAAAAACCCUAAGGGUUUAGACAAACGGGACUGUGAUGGUGGCUGGCAGCAGACGGCGGCGAACGGCGGCCGGCAACGGAGGAUGGCCGGCGGCGGUGAGCGGGAUCGACCCGUCUGAUACCAACUUGAGAAUUAAACUGUAAAAUAAUUCUAGAGGGCUUGAUUGAUCCCUCUCAUAAUCUUCUAUUUAUAAUAAUAAAUUGAUACAAGAGUACAUGAUAAUUAGAGUAACC
rnacentral:lncRNA from 1 species